ensembl:snRNA U1 U1 spliceosomal RNA
GGAGAGACCUGGCAGGGGAUUGGCCGUGAUGAAGAAGGCGGUUCUCCCAGGGUGAGGCUCGCUGACCCCUGCGAAUUCCCUGAUUGUGGGAAUCUCGACUGCAUAGUUUCUGGUAGUGGUGGACUGUGUUCGCUCUCUCCCCUG